rnacentral:misc_RNA from 1 species
CAGCGCGGCAAGACUGAACAAGCUGAAGAUGGCCAAGAUCUUUUCCGGUGAGUUAACCAAAUUGAUCGAGUAAACAAAAAAACUCUGUAAAGAGAUGGUUAGUAUGCCAACCAUAUCCGGCGGGGCAGGAAAAUAGGACUGUCGCUCUGAGCUUCCCGGUGCUAAAGCAAUAAUCAUCACGGCAGUGAUCGCUCCCAACAGACCGCUCACUAGAAACACUGUUUCAUUUGAGAAUUUGAAUUUUUUUGCGAUAAGCAGGACCAGAAUUGAAAGCAUGAGAGCGGCGACCUGAAAGGCUGCGUAAGUUUCGCUGAACCCUCCGACGACCAAGGCCCAGAAGAAACUGAGUAUCCCCGAAAAAACGAGUGGAAGCCUUGUCCAUUCCCUUGCCCGAAUAUAGUUCCAAAGGAUCGCCUGAAGUGUGCCCAUAAUCAGCGGUGGAACAACGGAACGCAUUCCCUGUCCCCAGUACAGGGAUUGUCGUAUGUCCGGUGCCAGCAGGAAGAGAGAGAACAGGCUUGUGGUUGCGAGCGCAAGCGAUACUAAAACACUGUUUUUGAGUUGAUCAAGGGUCACCACGAAAAGUGCGGUCAGGGCUGCCAGCCAGAUCAUGAUAGUAAACGAUACGACAAAGGGUACAGCUUUCGGGCCAAGCAGGCCAACGAUCGCAUCCAGCAUACUGGCAGAGUACCUUCCGCUCCAAUUCAAGUACCAGAACCAGGUUGCACGCAGUAUCCCAAGUCGCUCUGCCUGCAUGACUGAGCAAAAAUCGUCCGCGAUAUACCGGCUAAAGUAGCCCAGAUAUCCGUGCAAAGUUAAUGGUAUGCUGCUGAGGAGCACGGAAGUAGCGAUCAAUAAAAAUUUCACGUUGAUUUUCAUGGAUGGUUGCCUGACAAGCAGUACUGGAUUGAUCCAUUUUACUGUGAACUGGAUAGGAUUUGACAGAAAAGUGGACGGAAAAUCUCUGAUAUAAUCUCUCAAUUGAGAGAGUAGAGUGCAUCGUGGCGCUUGUAGCGCCAUGUUGUUUUGUCUGUACCUUGCUAUCAUACAUAAUUUUGGGAGUAGAGAUGAAGAAGGACCAACUGGUUGAUUUGUAUCAUCAAAUGGUGCUGAUUCGCCGUGUGGAAGAACGCGGCGCGGAGCUGUAUCAGGCCGGCAAGAUCGGCGGAUUCAUGCACCUGUAUAUCGGACAGGAAGCUGUCUCGACGGGUUUGGUCGCGGCGCGUGAGCCGCGCGAUCGUGUGAUCACAGCCUAUCGUGAUCAUGGUUUUGCCAUCAAUACUGGAAUUCCCGCGAAUGAAGUGAUGGCUGAAUUGCUUGGUAAAGCCACGGGGAUGUCGAAAGGCAAGGGUGGAUCCAUGCAUAUGGCAAGUGUCGAGAAAAAUAUGUGGGGCGGACACGCCAUUGUGGGCGGUCACCUGCCAAUCGCUUCCGGCUUUGCUGUGGGCGAUCAGUAUGCAAAGAAUGACAAUGUGACCAUUUGUAUUUUUGGGGAUGGCGCCACGAACAUCGGUUAUUUCCAUGAAGCCUUGAAUCUUUCAAAAGCCUGGGGCUUACGCGUGCUCUGGGUCUGCGAGAACAACAAGUAUGGAAUGGGGACCGCGGUCGAACGGGCCUCGGCUGUUCUGGAUAUCCAACAGAAAGCGGAAGGCUAUGCCAUGAAGAACAGCCAGGUGGACGGCAUGGACGUGAUGAAGGUCUACGAGGCUGCGCAGGAAGCGAUCAACUAUGUCCGUACAGAGAGCCAGCCCUAUCUGCUGGAAGUGAUCACGUAUCGUUAUCGCGGCCAUUCCAUGGGCGACCCGGAACGUUAUCGCAAGCCGGAAGAAGUCAAGAAGUGGCAGGAGAACGAUCCGAUCGGAAUUUUCCGCAAGCACUUAUUGGAAAAGAAGACGGUCAGUGCAAAGGCUCUCGAUGAGAUCGAUGCCCAGGUGGAAGAGGAAGUGAACAAGGCGGUUGAAUUUGCCGAGUCCUCCCCCGAACCGGCGAUGGAAGAGUUAUUCACGAAUGUUUAUGUAGAAUAGACCACGGACGAUUGACCAUAGACCACACCUGCCUCGGAUGCAGGUGUGGUCUAUGGUCGUCGGAGUGAAACGAGGACAUAAUGGCCAAGAUAACCAUGCGCGAGGCGAUCUCGCAGGCACUGAUGGAAGAAAUGGAUCGCGAUCCCGCCGUCUUUAUUCUCGGGGAAGAAGUAGGUGUUUGGGGGGGUACCUAUGCAGUCACCAAAGGUUUUUAUGACAAGUACGGUCCCGACCGUAUCAAGGAUACACCGAUCGCAGAGAACGCGAUCACCGGCGCGGCCAUCGGCGCGGCCAUGGUGGGACAGCGUCCCAUCGCAGAGCUGAUGACGAUCAACUUUGCCUUCUCGGCAAUGGAUUACAUUGUCAACCAGGCGCCGAAGCUGCAUUACAUGUUUGGCGGGCAGUUCAAGGUUCCGAUGGUGAUCCGCGCGGUGGGUGGCGGUGGGCGUCAGUUGGGCGCGACCCAUUCGCAGACCCCCGACGCGAUCUUUGCGCACUUCCCGGGUCUCAAGGUGGUUUCGCCCGGAACGCCGGAAGAUGCCAAAGGAUUGCUCAAAGCCUCCAUCCUAUCGGAUGACCCGAUCCUGUUCAUCGAGCACGCGACCAUGUACCAGGUGCGCGG